UUCCUUAGCAGGUAAACUUGGCAUGGUUUUGACUGGAUAUUUCCAUGUGUCUGGUAGAUUUACAUCUUUCCAUUGUAUUGCCUUGGGUAUAUUUAUAUUAGCUUUGGUUUGGUCAAUUUCCCAAAAAAUUGUUUCUCCUGUUUGUCUAUUAUGAUCAAUAGCAUUAGGACAUAAUCCUGUGUUCAUGAUUUUAUAAUUUAGUCUAUAAAAUACUUCAUAAAUAUGAGAUCCUUUUAACAUAUUAUAGUUAUGUAUUAAUAUGUCUAAUGUCAAUAUUUUCAUUAUAUGAGGAUCAGUUAAUGAAAUUGUAAAAUUUGGAAAACAGUUUGAAUAUAUUGGUCCAUUUGUUAAACUGGUUUCAAAUAAUCCUAACAAAGAAUCUUUGUAAUUAAGAUGUCUACAGUCUCUUAAUGCUACAUGCAUACUAGUAUUUAAUCCUUCUACUGUUAAUGGUUUUAUAGCAAUUUGUACUAAUCCUACAUGCAUGAAUUUAUAUCCUUGAUUGAGAUAUUUUAAUAUGGUUUUCUUACUUAAUAAACUCAUAGAUUGAUUUUCUGAAUAUAGAGGUACUACUUUUUCUUUGGUUUUAAUUGCUCUUGCUGCUUUAAAAUCUAAUAUUCCUGUUUUAUAUAUUGUAUCUAUUGGUGUCUUGGGAGGUUUCCAAUUUGUUAAUUGUUGACUAUUCCAAAUACUUUCUCUAGAUAAGAUUGUUUUACUAGUAUCUGUAUUAAUAUUUAAAUCAUUUAUAAGUUCAUUAUCUGGUUGUCUGGACCUAGAAGAUCUAGUUCUUCUAAACAUAUUCAUUUUAAAAAUCUAGGGUUUUCACAUACACUUCCUUCUCUACUCACACUGCAGGUCUUACCUCUCUGCCUGACUUACGGUUUUCGUGACACAGCUCGAACCCUAAAUUUCUAAUUUGAAUAGUUUAAAAUCGCUAGAAACUUCCUUGGCUCUGAUACCAUUUUUCGAACCCACGUAUACGUUUAUAAUUUUAUAUAUGAUUUAAUAUUUGAACAGUAUAUCUAGAUGUCAUUGUCAGCAAAAUACCAAUAAUUGAAACAUAAUUCAUAAAGUAUACAUACAAUGGUCCAUACAUACAUCAUACCAGAUAAGUAUAAAAAUAUAUACAUAUGCUUAAAAAUUAUUAUUUCUUAAUAAUGUGUCUAAAUACAUGAUCAUACAAUUAAAUAAUUCUAAUGUUCUUUGUGUUUCUCUACAAUCGCAGAGUUCAUUAGUAUGGUUUGAUACAUGCCAGUCCAUAACAUAAGUUCCUUGUUGAAUUAAAUAUCUUUUAAAACAUUCUACUUCAGUUUUAUUGGUUAAAUCUAUUAAACUUAAACUUUCUAGUGCAGAAAUAAUAAAUCUCAUGGUGAUAAUGAUUUAAUUAAUAUACUCAUAAAAGUAAUAUGCAAUUAUAUAUUCUAUUUCUGUUGAAAUAUAAUAUUUUAAAAUAUAGUCAUUGUUGAAUUCAAUAAUAUCAAAUAAAACAAUAAACAUUAUUAAUUCAGAUGAGCAAUAUACUUUCUGAUGUGGAAGAUCGGUAUAAACCGCAACCACAGAGCAUACUUAGGAUGAAUGCAAUUGAUUUUAAAUUGGUUAGGGUUCCUGCACUGUUAACCUGGAAUCCCAGAAUUAACUCAGAUUGAAGAGCGGAGAGAGAAAGAAAUAGGUGCCGUCAACACGGACUUAUACAGUAACAGAUGUAUAGAAUACUUUGUAUUAAAGUACUAAUAAAAUACAACUUACUUUGUACAAAUAAUUAAAAUACAAAUACUGCUACGUCUUGGUUGUAGUAAACCAUAGACUCCUUACAGAUUGAUAAAACUAUUCUAGAAUACAUGAGAGAAUUUGAGAGAAAAUUUCUGUGAUGAAAUUUUGGUGUGUCCUGUAAAUGGUCUGAACUUCCAUAUUUAUAGCUGCGGACGCCGAACAAUAUUCAAUUUGGUUGAGCGGUCCGUGACCUUUGAGUGGAUGGUGGGUCUCUGUGUCUGUGUCGGUGUCGGCCACUAACUCCUUAUGCGAGAUGAGUCAUUUGUCUUUUUGCAACCCGUGACUUUUGAGUGAAUGGUGGGUCCUUAUGUCUGUGACGUCAUUGUUUUUGUCUUAUCGGCUGCUUGUCAGUGUGUAGGUUUAUGAUGGGUCCUACAUUUCUGCUUGUGUAAAGAAAUCAUCGUUAUCGUCUGCAAGAUCAAUUGGUGAUGGUGAUGCUGUUGAGCUUCUGGUUUCUUUGAGUUCUUCUAGUAAUUUGUCAUAUUCUUUUUCUGAGGUACAAGCUGUCAUUUGUGCCAUUAACUGUUGUUUUUGGGCUAGGAAAAUCUCAUGUUUGGUUAUGGUAGAUGGGCUUGGAGUCUUGCUGUAUUGUGGAUGGUCAAGGAAGAAUUGUUCUAUGGCUUGUGGGCCACAAGCCUGCAAAUUGGUUUUAUUCCACCAUUUAAUUUUAUAUCUACGGACCAAAAUUGGGAUCUGAAAAUUGUCAAGAGUUUGGUCUUUUAUUUGAUAUUCUAUCAUGAGGAUCCAUGGGAUAUGGAAAUAGUGACAAUAAAUAGCCCAUUGGGGUGAAUAGAUAAUUGUAUCAGGUAAUUGGUUUUGCUCAAAAAAUUGGGUUUUUGCUAUCUUAAUUUGGUCAGGAAUUAUUUUUUCAUUGAUUCCAAAUUUGUUCCACCAUUGAUGGAACCAAUAUGGCAAUGGAUAUGUGAAAGUAUCUGCAAAAAAGAAAAAGAAAGAAACUGAUAAUUGGUCAUUUUGCUUUAGGAAAGUUCUUUCCCAAGCAAUUUGGUAAUCAUAAUAAUUGUAUUUGAUAUUUUGUCUCAUUUGUCCAUUUGUCAUUACCAUUUCUCUGGUUUUAUGGGGCUCUUGUCCCCAAUCUGUGAGAGUCCAUAUUUUUAAUAUUCUUAUCUUACAAUAUCUUAAUUUAUUUGGGAUUUGAGGAUCGAAAUUGUUAUAGAUAAUAAGAGAAUUGGUAUUGACUAGAAUGGCUUCAUAAAAUUGUUGGGAUUUAUGGAAAUUAUCUGGUAUAUAAAAGUGAGUUUUAGGAAAGAUAGUAUCACAAAGUUGGUAUUCAUUCAUAUUAGGAUUCUGGGCCCAAUACUCAGGUUCAAUGGUGAGAAUAUAGUCUUCAAUGGUUUUGUACUUGUAAUCUGUCUGGGAUUGGUCUUGGGACAUUGUUGGGCUUGAAGAAGAUCCUGUAACUGCUUGUUUGAAAGUAGAGGGAGUUAUGAGAUCAGGAGGAGUUCUUAGUGGACUGAAUUUAUUUAGUGAAACAAAAUUGGGCCUUGGCGACCUGGGCCUUGGGUAAGUUGGUUGAACAAUUAAAGCACUAGAGAUUGGACUCAUUGGCCUAUGCAUAAUACUUGAAGUACUGGUGUAUAUUGGUCUAGCAAUAGAAGUUUGUCCAGAAGUAAAUAAUUUUGCAUUUGUCAGAUUUGUUUUAG
rnacentral:lncRNA from 1 species